CACCUGAUGAGUAGUAUAUCAU
rnacentral:snRNA from 1 species